rnacentral:rRNA from 1 species
AGAGUUUGAUCAUGGCUCAGGACGAACGCUGGCGGCGUGCCUAAUACAUGCAAGUCGAGCGGACAGAUGGGAGCUUGCUCCCUGAAGUCAGCGGCGGACGGGUGAGUAACACGUGGGCAACCUGCCUGUAAGACUGGGAUAACUUCGGGAAACCGGAGCUAAUACCGGAUAACACCGAGGACCUCAUGGUCCUUGGUUGAAAGAUGGCUUCGGCUAUCACUUACAGAUGGGCCCGCGGCGCAUUAGCUAGUUGGUGAGGUAACGGCUCACCAAGGCGACGAUGCGUAGCCGACCUGAGAGGGUGAUCGGCCACACUGGGACUGAGACACGGCCCAGACUCCUACGGGAGGCAGCAGUAGGGAAUCUUCCGCAAUGGACGAAAGUCUGACGGAGCAACGCCGCGUGAGCGAUGAAGGCCUUCGGGUCGUAAAGCUCUGUUGUUAGGGAAGAACAAGUACCGUUCGAAUAGGGUGGUACCUUGACGGUACCUAACCAGAAAGCCACGGCUAACUACGUGCCAGCAGCCGCGGUAAUACGUAGGUGGCAAGCGUUGUCCGGAAUUAUUGGGCGUAAAGCGCGCGCAGGCGGUUCCUUAAGUCUGAUGUGAAAGCCCACGGCUCAACCGUGGAGGGUCAUUGGAAACUGGGGAACUUGAGUGCAGAAGAGGAAAGCGGAAUUCCACGUGUAGCGGUGAAAUGCGUA